UAUCUUAUCAAAUAACUCACCUGUGUCAAAGAAACAACUGCAUUUGGCAUACAAUGCAAUCAACAUGUUAGCCACCGGAGAAUCCAGGGGCGGAGCCACGCUUGGGUUGGGGUGGGCUCUAGCCCGGGUGAAGUUUUUGACAGUUCCUUGCUUUCCAUCCGUUCCAACCUCUUUCUCUUUGCUUGGACUAAAAACUCCAUCAAGUUCUUAAGGAAUUGAGGUUAUCAAGUACUGAAAUUAAAGUAGAAGUGAAGUAAAAGUGUUGUCCAAAUGAAGAAUUGAAUUCAAUCAAAGCAAGUUGGGAGCAAGAUUGAAUCAAGGAUUCAAGUAAAAACAUGAAGCAAAGAGGUAAUUUAGUUUAUACUUGUUAAAUUCGUGAAUUUGAGAUAAAUAACGUAUUGAAAUUGCUUUGUUGAUGUGAUGAGAGUUUAUAUAUAUGCUAAUUGGAGUAAUAAGGAUGAAUUUUUUGGCUAAGCUCCAUCUAUUAUGCUUAUGAAAUCUGAGAUUUUAGAGUACGCCUUCACGGUGUUUGAAAUUUUGACUGUAAGAGGUUGUUAUGCUAAAACUUGUGAAUUAGCCAAUGUUUUGGGCAAGGUAACCUUUAUAUAUUUUUUGAAUUUAUGAUUGAUCUUAUGGGACAAUUUCUUGUGUAUAUUGUUGGUACUUGGUAGCACAGGGCGGCAA
rnacentral:lncRNA from 1 species